CGUAGGCGGUGGGUUACGUCUGCCGUGAAAUCCCCGGGCUCAACCUGGGAAUGGCGGUGGAAACGGGCUGACUAGAGUAUGGGAGAGGGUGAUGGAAUUCCAGGUGUAGCGGUGAAAUGCGUAGAGAUCUGGAGGAACAUCAGUGGCGAAGGCGGUCACCUGGCCCAAUACUGACGCUGAGGCGCGAAAGCGUGGGGAGCAAACA
rnacentral:rRNA from 1 species